GGUAACUUCACGUUAAAUUUUAUAGCUCAUUUCUUUUAAUUAAUUUUCCAUUAAUUUUGCCCGCAAUGUCGUGAUAUUUUUUUCGUUUUCGCUUGCAUUUAGUGAAGCGUAUCGGUUGUUAAUUAAUUCGAUUCUGGAUUUCGUGAUUUUUUAUUCAUUUCGAGUGGAAGAAGUUGGCGGCGAUUCGGCCAUGUGAUUUACUGUGUUGUUCGCCUCUCACAUCCAAUCAGGCAUCCUAUUGCGAUACCUACUCGUACAUUCCUUCUGCACUGUGUAUUGAAAUCACACCUCACAAGGAAAUCCUGUGUCGCUGUCGUAUGAUACGAGAUUUGACCACUUGACCCUUUGAGAAUCAGGUGCUUAUCGGCGAUACUUAUAUUUUUGCCGCUGCUGUAUUAAGUAUAAUCAAACCUCACGAACGAGAGAUCCUUUUUCGCUGUUCUGUGAUAAUUUAGCCACAAAAUUCUCCAUGAACCAGGGUCCACAACAUGGGAAAUCAAUUCGUACAACCCGAACUCCAAAAUAUCACUUCUGUAUAGAGAAUAGAUGCGGACAAUAAUUAUCAUCUGAAUCAAUUUGAAAAUCGAGUACAAAAUUAUAUUC